CUAGACAAUUAAUCCUCAAUUAAUUGCAAAGAAAACUACUACUCACAUGAUCAUAUAUCCAAACUCAAUUGUCUAUGGAUAUAUUUUCCUUUCAAUAUAAUAUACAUUUCCUUAGCACACAACAACCAAUCCAAGUAACAUGAAAAAAACUCGAUACUUCCAUAGCUCUCUUUGCAAUUACAGAAGGUCAGAAGAUAUUGCGACUACUACUACUACUAUUGCUUUCUUCAUCAAGAUCCUCUCCAUUUGAAGAGACCUCAGUGAUAACACUGGAGCUUGAAGAUGACGAAGAGGACGAAACAAAAUCAAAACCAAUAUUGUCCUUCCUCGUAAAAUAAAAAAAUCUGUGCAUAUGAGACUUCACCGCCACAUUCUCUACUCUAUCAUCCUUACAAGCCUGAUCUAUCUCACUAUUUCUUUUCUUCAAAAAUAUUCGACAUAGAACCCACUUCUCUAUUUGAUCAGAAGAAUUCUGCAGAAACCAAAAGCUUGGCAUUGAGUUACAUAAUCAAAGAAAACAUGUAUAUAUAUUCAUCUAAAACCAUCUAUUUGUGUAUAAUGAUAGUUAACUUGCCUGGGCUGAGUUCUUUGUCAAUGGAAAAUUAUUAUUGCAAGCUACAGUACCUACACUAACAAGGCGAUAUUCAUGCAUGAUCCAAUCAGUUCUAGUAGCAUGGGGAGUCUUGCCUCUAUAGAAAACCAGAGUCUUUUUCAUCCCCACUGCAUGGUUCUUGUGUGAAGAACCUAUUUGUCUGUCUAAGCCAGUCGCCUUCCAAUACCCAGAAGCAGUUGCUCGGUUGAUUCUAUUUCCAUUUGGAUACUUGGCUUCAUUGUUGCUGAAGAAGUAUCUCUCUUGCUCUAUAUCACCAGGCAAAUCCCAAGGGUCAAACUGGCAGACAUUGAUCUCAGGAAUGAUAGAAGCAGGCAACGGCCAUGAAAGGACCUUACGUUUGAGGUACUCAAAGACAAGCUCUUCAUCUGUUGGCUGAAAACGUAAACCUGGAGGCAACUUCAUCAUUCCUUCUCUAGCAAAGAUGAACUUCUCCAUAUUGAAGUCUUUUCUUGAUAUUUUUAUACUUAAUAACCUUUGACAAUUCAACUGAGCUAAAUCUCUCUGCAAGCUUAGCCCACGUAUCUACGAUGCACACAAGAGAUGCACCAUAGAUAGAGAGAGAGAGAGAGUGUGUGAGAUUCACCUGCCCCCCUUCUCUCUCUUGCUAUCUAGGUUUCUAAAUUUUCAUUCCAUUUCUUCUCUCUUGGUUUCAUCGUCUUUGCUUAUUGGAUUUUUCAACCACGUCCCCCUUUCUUCCAUUUUCUCAAUAAUCUUUUGUAUUCUUUUUCUUUUCCUCAAAAAUGGAUUUUUCGGAUACCCAUUUCCCCAAAGCCUAAUAUUUGCCUGUCAGACACUCCAAUCUUUCUUCGGGGAUGAGGAAAAUAGGCUGAGGUAUACACUAAAGCCUAAGAAGAAGUUCAAUCGCAAGGUUUAGAUUAAUGGGUAAACAAGCAAUCCAGGUAUUUGAUGACAAAAAGGAUGGAUUUUUCUCAAUCUCUGAUUUGGGGUCUCAAUGGGGUUUUCAAGAUGGGCAAUAUUUUCAUGGUGGAGGCCUUUUUGCAAGCGUUAAUCAGAUGGGGAUGGGCUUCCCAAAUUCCAGUGAC
rnacentral:misc_RNA from 1 species